rnacentral:tRNA from 1 species
GAAGUAUUAGUAAAAC